rnacentral:rRNA from 1 species
GAUGAACGCUGGCGGCGUGCCUAAUACAUGCAAGUCGAGCGAACAGACGAGGAGCUUGCUCCUCUGACGUUAGCGGCGGACGGGUGAGUAACACAUGGAUAACCUACCUAUAAGACUGGGAUAACUUCGGGAAACCGGAGCUAAUACCGGAUAAUAUAUUGAACCGCAUGGUUCAAUAGUGAAAGACGGUUUUGCUGUCACUUAUAGAUGGAUCCGCGCCGCAUUAGCUAGUUGGUAAGGUAACGGCUUACCAAGGCAACGAUGCGUAGCCGACCUGAGAGGGUGAUCGGCCACACUGGAACUGAGGCACGGUCCAGACUCCUACGGGAGGCAGCAGUAGGGAAUCUUCCGCAAAGGGCGAAAGCUUGACGGAGCAACGCCGCGUGAGUGAUGAAGGUCUUCGGAUCGUAAAACUCUGUUAUUAGGGAAGAACAAAUGUGUAAGUAACUAUGCACGUCUUGACGGUACCUAAUCAGAAAGCCACGGCUAACUACGUG